rnacentral:rRNA from 1 species
UACGUAGGGGGCGAGCGUUGUCCGGAAUUACUGGGCGUAAAGGGCACGCAGGCGGUGCAUCAAGUCAGCUGUAAAAGGAUGCGGCUUAACCGUAUUAUGCAGUUGAGACUGAAGUACUGGAGUGCUGGAGAGGCAAGUGGAAUUCCCAGUGUAGCGGUGAAAUGCGUAGAUAUUGGGAAGAACAUCGGUGGCGAAGGCGACUUGCUGGCCAGUAACUGACGCUGAGGUGCGAAAGCCAGGGUAGC